ACCUGGCUGGCUCAGUCAGUGAAGCACAUGACUCUUGAUCUUGGGAUUGUGGGUUUGAUCCCCACAUUAGGUG
rnacentral:tRNA from 1 species